rnacentral:lncRNA from 1 species
AUCUUGAAAACGGAAAAUAAAAACAGCAGACCUAUGAAGGUCAAAGGGGAAGUUAAGAAAAGCUGUAUCGAUUGUUGAGAUCUGGCGACUUGCUUAAAUUUCAUCAGCCUCACUUCUAUGGACUCUCAGGCCUCACGUGUACCAGCUCUCUGCUCUCCUUUGCCUUGGGACGUUCCAUCCCUGGAAGUUUCCCUGCCCACAUCUUUGUAGAGAGUCCAUUCUCCAAGCUUCAGUGUGUCAUCUGUUAGGACUAUGACCCACCUGGUACAUUACCUCAGGGCAUUCAUUUCAGGCUCCUUCUAAGUGGUCAAGGAUCUUGGAAGCAGAGGGAUCUACAGAAGUGCUUGCAACAGUUUCAGCCUCAUCCAGCAUCAGAGACAAAAAUCUUUUCUGGAAUGAGUCUUCUGUCAGCCUAACAAGCAUAGCAAGAAGAUAUAGCCCCACAACCACUUUAUGCACAUAGUUAGAAGCAUAAAAUCUCAUGGAAAGAGACCGAUUAUCCACAGAAGAUGUUGUCUUGCCAUUUCUCUCAUGUUAGAGGUAAACCUCAGGUUCUCCUCCUGCCUUUUGCUAAGUAUAUGUCUUGAUGACAAGCCUUCUGCUAAUGAGCUGUGUUUCUGGACCGAUCAUGGUAGAAGUCAAUUGAAGUGUCCCUCACUUGGGGUUUCUUAAGGCUGCACUGAUGAGGAAACUGAAACAGAAAAUCCAGAGUAAAUUCCACCAGGCCACACAGCAAGGUCUGAUAGAGCCAGGAGAGACUUUAUGAAAUCCAGACUCUCACACUAAUGCUCUAUCAGCUAGACCUCCAUGUGAGUCUCCCCAAUGUAGGUAGGAAGCACUUUCCC